GGACUCUGGUGGACGGUCAACCCUAUGACUGGCAGUCAGAAGGUCAGGGGUUCGAAUCCCCUCGGGUCCACCA
rnacentral:tRNA from 1 species